rnacentral:lncRNA from 1 species
GGGCUGAAAAAUAGAGUUCAUGAGGCUCUUAAAAGUGGAAGGGGCAUUGGUUAACCAAAAGGUAUGACAAAAACUCAUAGUGCCCCAUAAGUAUUCUAAAAGCUGUCGUAUACACAUCUGGUGGAAACAUCUUGAGCCAGGUACUGUCUUUCUUCUUAACCAGCACCACAGGUGAGGCAAAAGAGCUGGUACUUGCUUGAGUCACUCCAGCAUCCAGAAGCUCCCAAGUCAUCUUUUCUACCACAUCUUUCUAAAGUGAUGAAUGCUUGUAAGGCCUUAUGUUAACUGGCCAUGUACCCUCCUUAAGUGGAAUCUUGUGAUCAUGCUCUCUGAAAGGAGGCAAGGUUUUAGGUUCUGCAAAAACAUCUUCAAACUCCAAUAAUAACUUCUUAAUCACAGUAGGUGGUGUUUCAGCAGACAAAGCAUAAAAAUCACAUGAUUCUUCAAUUGAGGAACUCUGCACCAACAUGCCAUAGAGCUGAAGAGAACAUGGUUGAUCCUUCCUUCCCAACAACUUUUUCAGUUGCUUGCCUGACAUGGAGUUGACAAUAGAUGGAUUCCCUUUCAGAACAAAUUGUUUUCCAUUCAAUGUAAACUCCAUUAUCAAGGCCUAAAAAUUCCACAAGAUAUGCCCCAAUGUAGUUUGCCAUUGAAUUGCAAGAACAACUUCACAGUUACCCAUUCAUAAGAAAAUCUGCAGUAAAGAGUCCACCCUACAUCCCCCAAUGUACUUAAUGAGUGCUUCCUGAGUCAAUCAGAAUAUGCAAAGGUGUUUUCCCAAUCAACCCUGUCAGCCUCAUUGUAUUGUAAUGCUUAAUGACAGUGUCAAUAAGAGCAUGAACAGACAAGCGAUCUAUAGUAAUAUCCCCAUUAACAACUGCCUCAUUCCCCUCACACAUCUCCUCCUAAGCCGCUAUCAAAUCAUUCCCACUAUCACAACCUUCCAAACUCAGAAUUAACCAGAAUAGUAUAAAGUUGUUUUACCUUACAUUGGUGACCCAUGGUAUACUUUUCAUUGCAUUUAAAGCAUAAUCCCUUUUGUUUACAUUCCUCAUAUUGUUUAUCAGUCAGAGUAUGAAAAUGAGAAGUAGGAAGUGAACUGACAAGUUUCUUGCCCAAUAUACCUGCAGUUCUUAAAGGUUGGGGUAACAAAUUGGAUAAUUGGUUUGGUGGUUUCUGGUAUGUUUUUGGGUCAGAAGAAAAUAAGGUAUUGGAAGUGGGUUUGGAAGUAGAAUUGGUUUUGAAAUAAGGAUAACUUAGUUUAAAGGAAUUCGAAGUAACUUUAACAGAGUAAUUGGAUUUAGGGUUUGAAAGAAGAGAGGCUUCUUGCAAUUUGGCUAAUG